UCUGGAGACGGGCCGGGCACGGGAGGCCCGGCAGCGCCUGGCACGGGUCUCGGCGGGGGAGGUGCCCUGGGGGUGCGCCUGCCCCGCGACCUGGGGGACUUCGGAGCGGAGGCGCUGUGCUGCCCUCACGCCGGUUCCGUGCAACCCCUACUCUGAAUAUUAUUUUUUUCUUACGUGAUAGUAGGGUGAUAGAAUUAGAUUAAAACCAUGGGAUCGAAUAAACAAGAGCCAGGUGGGGUUUUUUGUGUUUUGUUUUUGUUUUUUUAAGUUUACUAAUUACUAAGUGUGUACGGAAAAUUCUCUGCACUAGAGGUUAGUGUCCACAAAGGAGUUAGAGGAGUAAAAGACAUCACUUCAUUCGAAUAAAGGGAGAGUCCGCCUGGAGAUGCCGGUGACUUCACAAGACGGGUCCCCCCGGGGUCUCUCGGCACAUCAGAAUGAAGAUAUUUGAAUUUAAUACAUUGUUACCAGAAUGAGACAACCCCAAACACUGAAAAGAAGCUGAUUGUACUGGUAUUUGUCCACCUCAGUUCAUGAAGACUCAAGAAAAAAUUCACUAUAAAGUUUUCUCUAAACAGUAGAGAGUUACAAAAAUUUAAAGGUAUCCUUAUUGUUUUGUACACAGGUCUUACAAGUUUAAAAUUUUAAAGCUAUUGCUGAAUGUAGAUGUUCCAAGUGUUUUUUUUAAUUAAUUUUCACAAAAACACAUUUUGGCACCAGCAAGUGGUAAAACGAGAUGUUGGUGAAGGCAACAUUUAGAAUGAAGCAGAUGAGUGGCAGAUGUGUCCUUGUUAAAAAAUUAAACUAGUUUUGUGUCCUCUCCUCAUCACAUAUGCACCUAACAAGCAGAAUGGCUACACAAACAUGCUUUCAGUGGUCAUCAGACACAACAAUCAAGCUAGGCCAAAUGAAAAACACCCAGUUUCAAGAAAGAAUUCUACUGAAUCAAGUUAGUAAUCCAAGUUUCUUAAUGCAGUAAGAAUAAGUGAAUUAGGAACUCUAACACUCAGGCAGAAUGCUGAGAAGAACAGCAGACUGGAAACAGUCAGUACACAUCAGGUUUUUAAUACAGUGACUAAUGCAAAUCACAUAAACUCUCCUGGAAGCUGGUUCCAGAGCCUAGCUAUUCUCUCCUAGGAGAUGCCUUUACCCAAGAUGCAGAAUUAGUCUCUCCAUUGCCCCCUCCAUUUAGUUUCACUAAUUCUUGUUUCUCUGCCUGCACUUAGUGACAAGGAUGCUUUAGAGCAGUAGCUAGUAUCCCUUGGAGAGGAAAGAUCAAGUUUGAUUCCUUCAAGCUUUCCAGAGUCUGAAAAGCUAGGUCACUGAGUACCAGAGUGAGUUGUUAAAUGAUCAAAGAUUCUAUCGUUCAGCCAUAUGUGUAAACAGAUUGCCUGUGCUUUGUACUAUUAGUGUAACUCAAUGCUAUCAGAAUCCAUUGGAUGGGACCAUAUGCCACUUUUAUAUCUGGUCCUCUGACUUGUGAACUUCAGACUGAUUUAGAUACAAACAUGCACCACAAUGAUGGAAAGACAGGAGUUACUCCAAGCAUGUUUAGUAACUUAAAGCUCUGGUGCUUCCUAAGUGUACUAAGAAAAGUAGAGAUAAACAGACAUGCUCAACAACAUGCCCGGACUUUCUGUAUGAAGAUUUUAAUUUAUAAUUUGAUAUAUAGAUGCCUACACCUUUUAAGACCUGGUAUUUUGCACAGAAUUUUUUAAUCAACACAAAACACAAAGGCUGCAUACACACUACUACUACAGAAAAAAAACCAACAACCAACAAACAACAAAAACAAACUCCACAAAAACAACGUACCCUCCACAAAAACCCUCCCAAACUCACUUCCAAUAUAAUGAAAGUGCCAAAGCAGAGGAGAUAAAAGUAUAAUCUCAAUGGUGGCCAAAGUGAAUGUCAGUAUAAUUUUAUAACUAUCAAUCUUUUAUGGCCAGCAUUAAAAAACAUCUUAGCAAAGGUACUGUAAGCCUACUCAUAGAAAGAACUUACUGAAUGUAGUUCUGGAAAAAUCUCCUCCAUGGCAAAGUACUCAAUGAAAGUGGCAAAUCCUUCGUUCAGCCAAAGAUCGUUCCACCAUUCCAUAGUCACUAGGUUACCAAACCACUAUGAAAGAAAAAAUAUGUAAUUCUUUUUCAGACAUAAAAUCAAGCAAAUACAGUAACACUCCAUCCAUCCUCAGCUUUAUCUUGUGGCAAAGUCAAGUUCAGUCAAAGCCACAGUAAUGUACUUGCAGUAACAACUCCCUAAGAGUUUGUGUUUUGUGCUGAAGAAAAUAUACCUGAAGGUAUGCUGAAGAGAUAAAAUGCACAUCCCAGUCACAAUGAGAGCAGGAGUGAAUUUAAGGACAGAAUUUCAUUUAAAAAGAAAAAAAAUAACCCGUCACAUUCAAAGAAUGACCUCCACAAUCUAGUACCUGAUGCGCAAGCUCAUGUGCUAUCACUGCAGUUAUUAACUUCUUAUCCCUUGCUGAAGAAGUAUUACUGUCAAACAAGAGUGCUGUUUCUCGGAAGGUGAUCAAGCCCCAGUUUUCCAUUGCACCAGACUGAAAAUCAGGAAUUGCUACCAGAUCUGGAAAAGAUUUGGAAGAAGCUUUGAAAACUGCUAGUUAAAGCAAUUCUGUAUUUCAAGGCUAUCUAUUCUAUUACAUAAUCACUAAAAAACCUCAUUAUUUAAAUCAUGUUGUGUUGGCAUCUGCUCACAUCUCAAGCACAGAAGACCCAUAGAUUUAAAGCCAUGUUUCUCUAGCAGUACUCUUACAGAAACAACUUAAAGCACUAGAGACACUGCAUAUAGAUCUUGCAUGCACACAAGUAAUGAGGAAAUCGGGCUUCCCCUCUUGAAAGCAAUGUCUUAAAAGACUUCAUUUCAGUAUCUUUCCAGUCAACUAACACAUCCUCAGAAGUCAGGCUGCAGAUUUUGCACCCAUGAAUAUGGUUUUACAGACUGAGAAUUCUGUAUCUCCCUACUCAAGGCACAUCAUGUCAAAUUUAGACUGAAUUAUUUCUUUCAUGUUAUAUACAAGUAUAAGCAAUCUGAUGUCAAAUGCUCACAAAAGUUUUCUAGCUUGGGAAUCACUUAAUACUCAAACAUUUUAUGAAUUUUUAAAAUAAUUUGGAGGGAACCUUUUUUCCCAGAUGUUUUAUGUUAUUGUUUAUUUUAAGCACACCUUUUCAGAACAAAAGUUCCCCUGCAUUUCUCAGAAUUGAUCAGGGCUUCUUCUUCUUCUGUUUAAAAAAAGUUCAAAAGAACUUACCUAGUUUUUCAAGAGGGUAGUUUAUUAAAAAGUACUUUUCAUAAAAUUCCAGAAGUUUCACUGCUGUGUUUAAGGCAUACCCAACUUGGUUUAGAUGCUGUGGUAUGGCACAGACAGAUACCUAGUCCAAACAGAGAAGAAAAGAGAAAAAAUUUUGAAACACACAAAAGCUUUAGAAGUAAAAGAGGACCUGGCAGUAUUUCCUGAAACAGGUAGGACACAGUUUGGGGAGUAUGCACAUACAUUACAAACACUAGUUAUGAAGCUGUCAAUGAAGAGUUAAUUUUUUUGCUAGACCUUAUUGACUAGUCAAAAUACAGACAAAGUAUCCAAUUGACCAAUGUGUAUGCAAGAACAAUUAAAGGCUGACAGCUUUAAGGAAGGUGUUCAAGAAGGGUCCAUAUGAACAGAAGUUGAUCCAUUUCCUUUUUUACUCAUGAGUUAUUAAGUGACUCUCCCUUUAUACCUCAAAUAAUCUGCAAGUAUAGGCUAUCAGUAUGACAUCAUCUGCAAGAAAUACUAAUUGUCACAAAGUUCACCCUUUCCUCUGUGUAAGGUAGGGUCACAUUGGACACGAUAUAAGAAGCAUUUAUAAAAAUUGAGAGGUUACAGUCUCCCUCUAUUCAUGUUAAAGUUGCUAUAUCAACAAAAUAACUUUGAUUAGGUUAAAGGUUGAUCCAGGUUUAGGAUGCCCUUUCACACACAAACACAAAAUAGGUUGAGACUAAUUUUCCUCUUCUAUUAAAAAGAAAGUAGUCUCUCUCACUAUGCUACAAAUCUGUAAACAAAUGACAUUGCCAAUAGAUGGAUGGGUGACCUUUUAAUUUUUUGAGUUUGAACCAACCACAUACGGGUAAGGAUCUAAUGUAGUGCUCCUGGAAGUACAAAAUUAUUACUAGCUGCAAAUUUUAAGUUCAAAAACAAGACAUAAAACCCCCCCAGGAUCUUCUGGAGUUGGGAAAAAUCUCAAUUGCAUUAUGAACACAUAACAACUUUCCUUCAACUCUAAGCGAUCUUAUAAGAUUCAGGACAAUAAACUUAUUUUGCGUGAACUGGUUAGGUCAAAUUCUUUGAGUCUCCCAGUGAAAAAUUACUGGAAGCACUUUGAGAAUGUAUUUUGUGGAAAAUGUCACUGUAUACUUCCUUCUUACAGUCUCCCUUGGCCUACUUGACACUGUUAGCAACAGCACAACCCACUAGCCAGACUCCAGACUUUCUUGGUAUGAUCAUUCUUGUGCUUUCUCCCUUCAAGCUGGCAAAUACUUGUAUACAUUACUAGAUCCUUCAUGUUUGGUGCCUUGGAACAGGCUGCCCAGGGAAGCGACUAAAGUAGUUGAAGAACAUCCAUGGACACGUUCAAAAGAUGCGUAGAUAAGGUUUUUAGGGACAAAGUUUAGUGACAGUUAGCCUGUUUCCAGAAAAUAAGACAGGGCUUAUUUUUGGAGUAGGAUUUAUAUUUCAAGCAUCUUCAAAAAUCCUGAAAAAUCAAGCUAGGGCUUAUUUUCAGGGUAGGUCUUCUUUUGGGGAAACAGGAACGGUUGGACUCUAUGAUCUUGAGGGUCUUUCCAACCAAAAUGAUUCUACGAUUCUAAAAGCCUACUGGACUUUCCUUCUACCCAAGUCAGAAUCAAAGCCUAUUCACCAGUAUCUUUAGUUGUGUAUACUGGAUUAAAGAGAGAACUUCUCCUUCUACAAUGCUACUAGCACUAUUCCUUCUGGCUGUUUCUAGGUAGAUACUGGCACUUCUGACAUUUCACCACAAAGGGGCAGUUCCUGCUAGAGAGUCAUGAAAAUCAUUGCUCACUGAAAAACUCCUGCACCUCCUAAAAUAAGAUUAAGAAGCAUCUCCUAAUAUUACCAUAUUUUUGUUUAGUUACUUUAAUUGCACACAUUGUAGUAACUGCUCACUGACCCUGCAGGCCACAUCCCCAUGAAGAGCAAAGAUCAAAGAGGACCAACUGUUUGAUUUUUGGAACCUUUAGAAAAACAAAAACCUCACAAAGAAAUCUUUGUGUUCACAUGACUAAAUGCAGACUUAAAGGUAGUCUAGAUUUGCUUUAUUGGAGGGCUUGGGUUUUUUAGGUAGCUUAUUUAUUUUUGCAGGUAUAGAACAUAUUUGCAGCACUGCUCGAAAUCGUAUGUAGGCUUCCCUGGUCUACAUGACACUACUCCCUCACAGAUGAAGCAUUAAAACCAAAAGUUUAAAGCUUCCAGCUCUGAAAGCUCUUAUGAAUUUUAGAUUUUGUAAAUUUCCACUGUAUAACAAGACCUGAUGCUGAGUCCCUUGCUGUAAAAGUCUUCUCAAUCUGGUAUAAGAUGUCAAGUCAGUCCAACCUAUAGCAUAUGGCUUUUGUCCCCUACCUAUGAUGAGUAUAGUAAAACCAAGAAAAAAAAAAUUAAAAGAUGGGGUUUACUUGUUGGUUUUGGGAUUUUCUUCUUUUGUUUUGGCUGGCUGGUUGGCUUAGGAGGGGUGAGGAAGAAAUUGAAGUGAAACAAACAUACCAGACUCCCAUUAGUUUUCAUACUGAUGUUUUUCAAGUCUGCAACAACAAAGGCUACUAGGUAAGUGCUCAUCUUCAAACUCACAAAAAACUCGUCUUGAACAAUUCCAUUUGUCACAGGAGUGGUGGCCUUCUGCAGGUGAAAGGAAAACAUGGUUAUUAAUGCAGACAAAAGAACACUAAGACAUGCAAGGAAUCAAUAUUAAAUCAAAGAACUACCUCAUGCCAGAACAGUUUAUAAGUAAACUUGCAGAACAUCUUUGUAUUUUAGUUACAUUUCACUGGGAAACAUGAUACUCCAACCUGUUCAUGGUGUAACAAAACUUAACAAGACAUCGCACAUUUAAGCCUAUAUACCCAAAAAUUAUUUCUCAAGCAUUGUUACCACACAAAUGCAUUGUUGGGGAAACCAUCAAUCUAACUUACUUCACACUUAAACCCCCAGUAUAAUCCAACAUCAACAUAAAGAUUAGCAGUAACUCAAGAGAACUUUAGGCUAAAUCGGAGACACAGUUCAGCACAGCCUACUAAAAAUAUUGGUAUUACAUGAGUUAAACAUUUGUCUCUUGCCAGAAGCCUCUUCAAAACAAGGUAACCAGACACAGUCACUAUUUAAAAAAAAAAAAAAAAACAGAACAAAAAACCCCUCACACACACCCUUACAAAUCAAAAGAGAUCACGUUUUAAAAAGUGAAGAAAACCUAAGGUUUCAGUUUGUUCAAAGCAAAAAAAUACCCAGCUUAAACGCACUACUAAGUGUAGAAUAAAUGCAGAAUAGUAAAGGUUUGGAGACAGGGAUGGCAGUUCAAGUUUAUUUCCAGAAACCACAAACAUUUAAAAACAACUACACUAACCUUAGUUUUAGACAAGAUCAUUUCAAACUAAACAAUGAUUUCACAUUUAACUGCCACUGAAAAUUUAACUGUCAGCCUAAAGAGGAAUAGAUUUUUAAGCCUGAAGAUAUAAUCAAUAUUAUCAUCUAGUCUGACCACUACAUAUGAACAGAAUGCCAUUAUUUAAUUUCUUCAGUGAAUAAAUGAAUUUCUGCAUUUACUACAGCUUCAUCCUCAAAAAGAGGUGACAUUCUAAGGAAAUCUACAGUGGCUGCAGCUAAGCUGGUUCAAAAAUCAGUUAUCCUCAUUUAAAAAACAAACAAAAAGAACUACAAAAGAAACCACACACAGUUUAUUUGUAGUCUUAAUGUGUGCCAGCCACUAUAUGCUGCCAUAUCAGCGAUGUACAUGCUAGUUGAGAAAGCCUGCUUCUGAGAUCUCUUGCUCAUGUAGGUAUUCAUAGAAAAUGAAGUUCACAUUGAACCUUCUAGUGGAUAAACUGAAAAGUCUCUCAAUUCAGUACAGCCUGUUAUCAAGACCUGCAAUUACUACAGAAGAAUCUGUAGUAGGAACAUUCUAUGGUAGUGUGGUGCAGUAGGUGAACUCGAAAGAAAAAUUCUCUUGGUUUUCCAGAGAAAACACACCAGUGUCUUUCAGAGUACCCACCAUGUGUGGAAGGUACACUGAAGAACAAAAUAGACUUUUAGUAACUAUGUGAAAUUAGCUCAGCAAUUUUUGUUGCACACAUGCAGCAAUGGUAACCCACAGUUUACUUUUUAUACAUGAAGAGCUAUGGAAGCUGUUCAAAGUAGUUUUAGCCACUUGUCCAACUCCUAGCAGAGGAAAGUAAGUGAGCACUCUUACUUGUUUACAUAGAACAUGAGAAUUGUUUAGCAGAGACUGCUUCUUCUUUCAGUGAAGAAAAGAGCAGCACAUAAAGUGCUCUGAGGCCUGGAUGUAAACUUAAGUGCUGCAAUCCUGUUAAACUAAUGGUUGGGAAUCACCACAAAUCAGCAUCAUAAACCUUCAUGAACUGUGAAAAAUAUAUUAUUUCACGAGGCUGCAGUUACUAGCUUAGUUUUCAAAAACACAGUAGCUACAUCAGCACCUGAGCUUUUGACAGUCUUCUGGGACCCAAACUGCACAGUUUAUACGUGUGUCCCACCAAUAUGAAGGUUGUAAUUUUUUUCAUUACUGGUUAGAUCAAUGUCAGUAUGAACGAUGUUUCUGUUGGGUGAUAAAUAGUAGUAAUGUUUUGAUGAGAGAGGGCCUACUGCAGACACAGACGAGGUAAUAAAUUAGUCUUGCUGGUCUGUCUGAAUGAAUUAUAUUUCUAUAAAGUUUUAUCCAAAGGCUUAAUGGCAUAAAGCAUCAUCAUAAAAUUCACAUAUCCUCUUAGAAGAUUUUGCCUGAAAAGAUCUAGCUUAAGGAAUUUCAGAUCUCUUAUUCAUUUGCUGGAGUUGACUCUGUAUUCACACCCUGCUUCUUCUUUUCUAGGCUCAAAAGCACAUCUUUCAAGAUCACACAUAUCUUUCACAGAGGCUAUUGCUAGUUACAUAAAUCUUUGAAAAAGAUAUUCCAGUAUUCUGCACGUGUGUGCUAUCAGCAAAUAGAAAACUCAGAAGAGAAUUUUAAGGGCUCUUGAGACUGAUGUACCCAACAACAAAACUCCUGCAAAAUAAGGAUUCUUUUAAAUUCAACAAGAACCCCUCCCAUAGCCAUUCAACUAUCCCUACAACAAUAGUGCACACUGAGCAGCACAUUAAACAGUUGUGUUUUCUACAAAGUUAAUUAGUUCAAGUUUUCGAGGAAGAGGAAGUUGUUUUAUUGUAAAGUCAUACAGUUUAUAGCUUAUCUGCUAUAAAGUCAAUUAGUCAAUCCCCUGCAACAAAAACACAAUAUGAAACACUUAAACAGAUUACCUAGACAGCAGCUCUACUAAAAUUCCUCUACAAAAGCAGGUUACCUUUGGCAUAUUUGACAGAGCAGAAAGUGUCUCAUCUCUUUUGAUCUUGAUUAAAAAAGUAGCUUUAAAUGCUGGUUCAUCAAAGCAUGGAAAAGCAGACCUUGCUCCCAGAGGUUCAAACUGAGUUGCUGCAAACCACCUAACAGAAAGAGUAGAGAGAGCAAAUUAAGAGUUAUGAAAAGGAUAAAAGUCAGUUUAUUUAUAACCUUGCAACAGAUUGUUAUGGGAGAAGCUUUCUGAACGGCACAUAACAGGGUUGGUACAGUUAGAAUAAAUGUUUCAUUAACAUUUUUUUUAAACUCAAAAAAAUGUAUUUGGUUGUUUUUCACUAUCUUAACAAAGAAGAAUGCAACUGGAAUAAUACAAUUAAAGAAUAAUCACCAAAAUAUCAGCCAGACAGCUUCCAGUAAAAAGAAAAAAAAAAAAGAGAAUGAAAAAUUAAGUCAGUGGUCAUGCCAACUAAAUAGAAGUUUUAAAACCUCAGCAGCAGAUGAGACUACAAUGAGGUGUUUUUCUCUAAUUGUCAUGCCCUCUCCUGCAGAUUCUCCCAUAGUUCACCUAACUGUAUGCCUGCACCCUUUGCUGGCUGCUAGAUGGAUUCUUUCUAAGUUCAUGCACUGCCUUGUCUCCAAUCCAACAACGAGUCACAUCACCAGAGAACUUCCCAGAAGCCUACACUCUUCCUCCAGUAUUUGGAUACUAACCAGCUGCAGAAAUUAUGGCUUUUCCUAGAGAGCAUCUCUGACUUGCUCCUGCUAGCCAACACUGGGAGCUCAACAAGGAGCUUGUGAAAUUAAGUCUUCUACAAGAGCUAAACAGUGGAGACAACUGUGGUUGGUUGGUUUGUUUUUGUUUGGUUUAAAAAACCCCCACAAAACAAACAAAUUAACAAAAAACCCACACCAAAAUAAAACACCUACUGCUAAGCUACUCACAAGUUUUGGGGGCUUUUCUUUCCUUCUGCACCAUGAUACAAACAUUUUUGGACCUACAACUUUUCUGAGGAGGCACGCUGCUGACAACUAAUAAGAUUGCUCUCCAUGCCCGCUUUCAACUUCUUACCCUUCUCUUCCCCCUCACUGACAACCUUGAUGUUGGUGCAGUAAGUUUCUUCUUCUUUUUUUUAAUCUUCACCCAAAGAUUUUACAGAAGAAAACUAAAAAAUAUAGAACCAUUCUGCAUAGAGGUAUAAAUAAGGUCCAACUUCUUAAAUUUGCAUCUGGCAACAGGGACUUAUUUUGCCAUUUGAUAAUUUUAAUGUUUUUGUCACAAUAUAAAAAAUCUUCAAAAGAAAAUUAAACUAGAAAAAAAGACAUUUUCUUGCAAAAGCAGGUUGACAGCUUGAGUCUUACACAGAAAAUGCAAUGACAACAGAGGCUGGCAAGGUAGCCUGCAUUUGUAAAACCACUGGCAUUAAGCAUACAGAGACAAAGCCUGUGGAAACAGAAGAGGCAGGCAAGGCAACAGAAAUUAUAUCAGCUAUUAUUAUAACAGUUAUCUGAAAAGGACUUACUGAAAAAUAUACAACUUAAAGCAUGUGCUAUAUCCUGUUCCUGAACAAAAGCAGGUAGCACUGGACUGAAGGGGGACAAAAACUCAAGAACUUCCUGACAGAUCAUAUUUUUCCUUUGUGAACACUUACACAUUCUCCUUCUACUACAGUUAAACAAGGAGAAAACAAAGCUCCAGCUACAUCAGAAUAGGAAAAAACACAGAGAUUAAAAAAGAGGCUAAUCAUUCACAAGAUGUUUGCCUUCUACACUUACUGUGUUCUUCAUGGUAAUGCUUGUAAUUAUUGUUUGUGAUAAGCUACUUAGCUCUAUUUCAUUUCCUCUUGUAGUUAUGUUCUUCUGAUGCAAUCUACACCCUUUGUGAUUCUUUAUUAUCCAAAACAUUCCACAACAGAGAAACAACUUGUGGCAUUUUUGUUAUAAUGACAGAAUUCUGAUGCCUAUCAGCAGUUUCCCAAGUGACAACAGAUUCUCUCUAACGAUCACGCAUACACUAUGAUGUUUUAGUAUAAGCUGAGGAGCAGCCCUUUCAUAAGAGGCUUAUCAACAGCCCUUUACCUGAAGGAUCUGAACAGUCACCCAUGUUUGCACCUCAGUAAAACACACCCACCUCCAUUGGAGAUGUUGGCCAACUGAAACAGAUCAACAAUCCUUUAACCCAGUUUUGUUUCUUAAAAUACUUGAUUUCCUAAAGAAAGCCCCUUAGACUACUUCAGAUGAGGACCAACAGGAACACAUGAGAGUAAAAAGCAGAGAGGUACUACCUUAACUAAGUUGCUGACCAGUUCAAGAACCCACAUAAAUGUUCCACGGUUCAAUCUGAAUGCACCAGGUUUUGCAUAUAUUUGAAAAUAACUGUUGCAGCUAACUUAACUUCUUGCACACUUCAGCACUACCUCAGAGACCCAAUAGGAGUGGGAGUUUUAAAGGCAAAUUGUAAAAAACCUUAGAAAAUGCUCAGAGAGGUCUCCUGACUCUGAAAGUCUCCUGACCCUGGGAUUUUGUUCAGAGAACAGAAAAGAAAUACAUCUUUCCUAUGUUAUGCAGCUUGCUAACAGUCUAAGAAAUAAUCUUUACACUAAGUAUCUUGUUUUGUUUAUUUUUAAAAUAUGAGCAAUCACUGAGGGACUUAAACAAUUCAAAUAUCAGCAGCGUAUGGUUUCCAUAUCUCACUGGAAAUAGACAAAUUAUGAAUAAGUUUGCCACACUUCUGUUUUCUUCUUCAGGCAGUCUCACUGAAACAGUCUGCAACAGCUCAAUGAAACAUCUUGUUUUAAGUAACUGAAAAGAAAUACAAUCUCAGUGUGAUUAUCUUCCCAGAUAAUAAUUUCAAGCAUAUAUUGUCGAUCUCAAAAAGAUUGCAUUGGUGACGCUAAUUUUAAAUUCUGCCUUCCGCUUUCAGGAAACAAAAUCUAUUUAUUAGUAUUUUGGGAAUUUCCAUAUAAACUCUCUCUCUCGCAAAGAUUUGUAAUAAUAUAUACAUUGAUUUGUCUUGCUUUUCCUUUACAACCCAUUCAACUUCUUUUUUUUUAAGCUUUAGAGCUUAGCAUUUCUUAGCACAAGUUGGUGCUAUCUUUAUUUAGCAGUUGUUUUGUGGACCCUUCAAAACUACUGUUCUGUCAGCUGGUCCUGGACUGACUCAUACUGCUUGUUCAGUCUUUUGUUUAUCGCACUGCUCUGUUUCUAUAAAAAUCGCAUGGACAACUAUGUGACAACAAAGACAAGAACACUCUUACGUGCAUGACCAGUGUAAGGCCCAUUUGAGGUGGGUGGUGGUGGGUGGCAAUUCAAUUAAUCUUCUAGGUAAAAAGUUUGAUUACCCUUUUUUAAAAAUCAGUGUGAUGUUUCCCUCUUCUCCAGUCACUGGGGACUUCACCUGACUGCCAUGACUUUUCAAAUACGAUUGAGUGGGGCUUGGCAACUACAUCUGACAGUUUGCUUAGGACUGUGCGAUGAGUCUCAUCAGGUCCCAUGGAUUUGUAUAUGUUCAGGUUCUUCAGAUGGUUUCAAACCUGAUCUUUCUCUAUGAUGGUGGGACACCAUUUCCCCACUCUCUGUCUUGAGAGUCAGGAGUUUGAGAGAUGUAGGAAGAAUUUCUGAAGAGAGAAACUAAAAAUUAAACAAAAAGCCACACUAUAGCUACCUACAACCAGUACACUGCACCCCAUUUAACUGACAGAGAGGCUGCCCUGACUUAAUGAACUCAUCCAUGAAAUACAUUUUUCAGAUAGAUUAAUCAGGAGAUCAAAGAUUGAUUUUGCUCAACAGGAAUCAGUUGUACGAGACAUCCAAUUAAAAAAGCAACCCUUGUUAUUUCUAUUAUCAAAGCACGAUCUAGAAGUGAUCCACAGAGAAGCUACAAUUGUGGGCAUACCUUUGCUUAGAAUUCUCAUCCUUGUAAGAAAUUUUGUAAAAGCCAUAAUAGCUAUCUGAUAAAUUAGAUGAAUAUUCUAUGUUGAUGGUAUAAUUCUGUCCUACAAGGAGAGCCUCAGGAGCCAUGACUGCAAUCUGGUCAUGCAAUGGAUACUCCAGGAAUUCAACUGGCUUUGCUUCAUGCCCUCCUGCUGAAGUAAUGGUUGCCUUGGUGAUAUUAAGUCCUGAGCUGUGAAGUACAAUCUUCCGAGUUUCCUUGGUAAUGUUAACCACUAUCUUUACAGAGCCUGCAAAUUUCAGAGUAGUAAGGUUUGGCUGCAAGAUGAGAUCAUAAUGCAGCGGUACAACAUCAGGAGGAAGUCUAAUUUUUGCCCAUGGAAACACUUUUCCAUUGGUUGCCAAAGGGUAUAUUAGUUCCAUCGAAUGAUGAUUUUUAUGGCAGCCUUCUUUGGUAAAGGUACAUUUGGGAAGAAGAUAAAUCAACAUUAUUAACGAAACUGCAAUCACAAGAACAACUGUGCAAACCACCACGGUCCUCGUAGAGGGUGCAGAACAUAAUCCAUUUGGAUUUUGUGUAUAGCCAGACAUGUUAUUCCGGAGACUCGAGCUUCUGUUCAUGAAGGACAUUCCCAACAAUUUUGCUGAUGACUCAUAAUCCUCUUCAUCAUCCUCCAUUUCAUGCUCUCCAAGACCACGAACCAAGAGCCGGGAGCUCCUUGGUUCAUAUUCCACUUCAUCAGGCUCCAGGGGAUGCAAACAAGAUUCUUUCGCCAAGUCAACCACAUCAGGCUCCUCUUCAAACAUACUAUUUUCAAUCAUAUUCCUGGGUAACUGAAUUAGAUCUGAAAAAGAAAAGAUCAUAUGUUACAUCAUAAACAAAAGGCAUGAUUAUAAUAUCUCGAAGAUACUUUACUGAACUGCGGAAUGGGAAACACUUUUAUGGUACAUAUGAUCAAGAGCUCUUUGAUUUUUUUCUCUCAGGUUUGCUUCUAGAAAACAUUUAUGUGCUUUUCUGCGUACUGUAAUUUUUCAUUCAGUAUCUCUGAAAGAAUGCUUCUGUUGUACAUAUUUAAUCACAUCUUGCAUCAUAACUGGGGAUCAGCUGUAUCACUGCGUAGAAUGCCCAGUUCGUUGAUGUCAAUAUCUUGGCUACAUUUCCUCUACCGCAGAAAACUAUAUCUGUAUCCAACUAAAAUAGUUAAGAUGGAAUAUUCUUUAUCUUGCAGGGUAAAGCACAGGAGGCCAAUACAGUUCUAGAGGUGUUUCUGAAUACACUAGCUACAGAUUUCUUCAAUACAGGAGAAAAUCUGCCAGUGUGCUGGCACUUACAAAAAUAAAACAUCCACUUGACAUUAUUAAACUUAAUUUUUCACACACAUCCCCCAAAAUAUAAAUAGUAUUUCUCACAUAAAAAUGGCAGUAUAAAAAU